AAGGCAGUAAUAGGAAAAAGGCAGUAAGCCUAAUGCAUUCAGAGAACCAUGAAGGUCAAACCCAGUCUAACAUGAAGGGUCAAGCCCAAUAAAUAACAAAACCCUAGCAGAGCAAGGAUCCAAACUCGAACCCCUUAACCUAAAAAGAGGAAACUUGUUGCAUCAUAGAUCGAAGGAGAGAAGCUCGUCGCCCCAUAAAUCGUUCGACUAGACUAACGUUGAGGGGAGACUAAUCUUACUGAAGCACCGAUGUGGACCACGCUUGGCUGAAGCGCACGAUGAAGAGGUCUCCAAGGAAAAGCAACCCAAGGGAUCGGGAAUGACUAGUUAGAGAACUCAGCAAAAACUAAGAAGCACCAAUCUAGGGAAGCAAAAACAAGGGGGCAGAACUCUAGCCAUUGCACUCUCAACUUGGCUUUGAGGGACUGGGACGUCGCAGGAGUGGCGCACAAAUUUACCCUAGGUACCCAUCCUCAGUGGAAAUCAGCAGUCAUCGCUGAAAUGCACCAAGCAGGAAUGAAAGAACGCUUGCCAUUAAGCUCAAACCUGCAAACAAACUCAACAGAGUAGGACUUCCUGCUAAUCACGAAAGAUGAAUUCACAUUUACUUGAGUGGGCACCAAGUGAAAGAACACUGUAUCUAAUAUGAUGUCUUAAAGUUUUCCUAUGAUUAACCAAGUUGAUAGCAUCUUCGUUAAGAAAAUGCCCCUUUUUUAAACGGUGUUCAUGGGAAAUGAUCAAUUUUACCUUUUUUACCUGGGUAGAGUGACGUUUAUGAGUCCAGAUAUUAAGAAAUGAGGAAAAGAGGAAUGGCUACGAAUACUGCAUUAGGCCUCUCAGAGGAGAGGGCGCACGGUAGAUGGUGCAAUUAUCACAUCAGAAUAAUAAAAAGUUUGGAGAGAUGAUAAGGAAAACUAGUUUGCAAAGAAGUGAGAUAAGUGCAGAGACACACUGCGAGAACAAAACUAUUAUAAGCUUCUUGAAUGCUAUAGCCAUAAUCUUAACAGCUACAUUUGCCAAAUACAACAAAUUCUAGUUGCUUGACAUGUAUAAAUGAACCGAAGAUAAAAUCUAGAAUUAAUAUAAGUAAUAUGCUACACUUGAAAAGAUACUGAUUUUCUUCCAUGUUAAGAACAAUUGAUGAUCGUGUAAACAAAAUAACUAGAGGCUUCAAAAGAUUUGAUUUUCGUUGCACCAUUAGGAUUGACAAAACCACAACAUGAUUAAAGACCAAAAUUGCAGGCCUGAACGAACUCCAAAUCAUAGUCAACGUGUUUUGUCCAAAGUGGUUUAAACUGCGUCAUGGCAAUGUCAAGCCAUGGCUUCAUGUUUCCAUUGAAGUGCACGACUGCAGCAUUGCGAAUCUCAUCCAUACUGAUGCUCGGAUUGUAGCCAAGCCCCAGAACAUGCCAUGACUUGUCUAAUGGCUUUGUUGUUGAGUAAAAGGUGAUUAAACCUGGAGGCAAUGUCCCCAGUUUCCACAAGGUUCGAUUCUCAUUCAGAUUCUGCCAAUAAUGAUAUUGCUCUGUGCAUUUCUCCCUCCUCCAAGCAUCCAAAUCAAAGAAGUUCAUCCCGUAAGCCCAAGCACAUGCCUUCGGAUUAAACUUCUCCUUGAUCAAAGGGUGCGAGAAAUUCAUAUACUGUGCAUACCUGUGAAAUGACCCAAAACAAGUCUCUACUGCCCCAUUCACCUUCCCAUCCAUAUCGAUCUUCCACAACCCAGUCAGAUCCUUCUGCACCACGAUAUCAUCAUCUAAAAACAAUAUCCUGUGCAACUUAGGGUACAUCUCAGGCAAGUAAAACCUCAAAUGAUUCAGAAUUGACAAGUAUUUGGGGUUCCUGAACUUCAUAUUUGUAGUAUCCUUGGUUGCAUUCUCAAGCUUAUUCUCGAAAUAAAACCUCUGCAAAUUUGCAGAUUCCAAUUGCCUAAGCACAGGCACAUAAGAAGAAUUCAAGAAUUUAUAAUCCUCAACAGCUUUCACUUCUAUAUGUGCCCCAUUAUAAGACUUCAAUUUGAACAUAACCUGCAUCGCCCCCAGAUUCAUUUUAUCAGUCACAACAUGAAAUACGUGUUUCCACGGCUCUUUUGCAUUUUUCACUGCAGAGUUCACCACCACCGAAGCGGCAAUCACAUUAUCUGAGAAAAUCGCAUAAUGGUAAAGUUUUGGAUCCUCCAGUUCAGGUGCCUGCGGCUUCCCUUCAUCAGUAUAUUUCUCAGGGUAUGCAAUUCUCUCCUCCAUUAACCUCAUAGCAAGGCAAUGCAAGCUUUUAGGUAUAGAUUUUGCAGCAAUCAAACUCGAGAAAGCCCCUUGCUUUUUCGCUUUAGUUAAUUGCUCAUUAACGGCAAAAAUUGUAUCCUUCAACUUCUGAAUUUUCAGCUGAUUGUCAAAACUUUCUUUUGCCUCGGCAAUUACUUGGCGAGUGACUUUGAUUCGCUCUUUCACUUCCUUCUCGAAUUGGCGUAGCGUGGAUUCUUCAAUAGAAAGCGAAUCCAACUCGAACAGAGCCCGAUACGCAGGCUUGUUAAGAAGAUCGGUAUAGUUUCGCGAGAGAUCAGCAAAAACCCUAACAACCUUUGAGUUCUCGAGCUUGAGCUUCCGUGCAUAGGAUGCAUAUGCGAGAGCGAGAGAUCGGUGGUCGUCGGCUUGUUUUCGGAUAUGGUCCAAACGGGGCUUCAGUGGAUCCGAUUUCAUUGCGAGUACGGAUCUUCUCCCGGAUCCAAAUCUAUAAGGUAUGUUGCUGAAGCCAAAGUGGUGGAGGUCAGAGGAAGAGUGAGAGUGUGAAGUGAACAGAAAAGAGACAGCGAAGAAGAGAAACACCGCAACCGUAACCGCGGAGGCCAAUAGUCUAAACGACAGACUGAAACUCCGUAUCAAUCCACUCCGCGAGGUUCGAUGAUUCGCCAUUGUUACCGUUUGAUUGAUUUGAUUAGCGAUGGAGGAGAAGAGGAUAAAAAGGUCACACAGCGAGAGAGAGAGAGAGAGA
rnacentral:misc_RNA from 1 species